GCUCAGAUUGAACGCUGGCGGCAGGCCUAACACAUGCAAGUCGAGCGGCAGCGACAUGAUAGAAGCUUCGGUGGACAUCAUGGGCGGCGAGCGGCGGACGGGUGAGUAAUGCCUGGGAAUAUGCCCUGAUGUGGGGGAUAACCAUUGGAAACGAUGGCUAAUACCGCAUAAUCUCUUCGGAGCAAAGAGGGGGACCUUCGGGCCUCUCGCGUCAGGAUUAGCCCAGGUGGGAUUAGCUAGUUGGUGAGGUAAAGGCUCACCAAGGCGACGAUCCCUAGCUGGUCUGAGAGGAUGAUCAGCCACACUGGAACUGAGACACGGUCCAGACUCCUACGGGAGGCAGCAGUGGGGAAUAUUGCACAAUGGGGGAAACCCUGAUGCAGCCAUGCCGCGUGUAUGAAGAAGGCCUUCGGGUUGUAAAGUACUUUCAGCAGUGAGGAAGGUGGUGUCGUUAAUAGCGGC
rnacentral:rRNA from 2 species